rnacentral:tRNA from 1 species
UCCCUGGAAGUCUAGUGGUUAAGACUCCACACCUACUAUGCAGGGGGCAUAGGUUCGAUCCCUGAUCAGGGAA